AGCGAACGCUGGCGGCAGGCCUAACACAUGCAAGUCGAACGAACCUUUCGGGGUUAGUGUCGGACGGGUAAGUAACACGUGGGAACGUGCCUUUAGGUUCGGAAUAACUCAGGGAAACUUGUGGUAAUACCGAAUGUGCCCUUCGGGGGAAAGAUUAAUCGCCUUUAGAGCGGCCCGCGUCUGAUUAGCUAGUUGGUUGAGGUAAUGGCUCACCAAGGCGACGAUCAGUAGCUGGUCUGAGAGGAUGAUCAGCCACAUUGGGACUGAGACACGGCCCAAACUCCUACGGGAGGCAGCAGUGGGGAAUCUUGCGCAAUGGGCGAAAGCCUGACGCAGCCAUGCCGCGUGAAUGAUGAAGGUCUUAGGAUUGUAAAAUUCUUUCAACGGGGACGAUAAUGACGGUACCCGGAGAAGAAGCCCCGGCUAACUUCGUG
rnacentral:rRNA from 1 species